rnacentral:sRNA from 1 species
CCGGCCACAAGGCGGCUCAGUGUUCCGCGGC